rnacentral:rRNA from 1 species
GACGAACGCUGGCGGCGUGCUUAACACAUGCAAGUCGAACGGUGAAGCGCCUUCCUUUUUGGUGGGUGUGGAUGAGUGGCGAACGGGUGAGUAACACGUGAGUAACCUGCCCCCUUCUUCUGGAUAACCGCAUGAAAGUGUGGCUAAUACGGGAUAUUCUGGGUCUGUCGCAUGAUGGGUCUGGGAAAGAUAUUGUUUCGGUGGGGGAUGGGCUCGCGGCCUAUCAGCUUGUUGGUGGGGUGAUGGCCUACCAAGGCGGUGACGGGUAGCCGGCCUGAGAGGUGGGCCGGCACAACGGGGACUAGGACCCGGCCCGACUCCUAAGGGGGGCAGGAGGGGGGAAUAUUGCACAAGGGGGGGAAGGCUGAAGCAGCGACGGCGGGUGGGGGAAGGAGGGCCGUCGGGUGGGAACCCUUUUUGGCAGGGAAGGCGGGCCGGCUCGGUUGGUGGGGGGUUGACGGUAGCUGGAUAAGAAGCGCCGGCUAACUACGUG